UGGGGAAUUUUGGACAAUGGGCGAAAGCCUGAUCCAGCCAUGCCGCGUGAGUGAAGAAGGCCUUCGGGUUGUAAAGCUCUUUUAGUCGGAAAGAAAGAGUUGCAAUGAAUAAUUGUGAUUUAUGACGGUACCGACAGAAAAAGCACCGGCUAACUACGUGCCAGCAGCCGCGGUAAUACGUAGGGUGCGAGCGUUAAUCGGAAUUACUGGGAGUAAAGGGUGCGCAGGCGGUCUUGCAAGUCAGAUGUGAAAGCCCCGGGCUUAACCUGGGAAUUGCGUUUGCAACUACAAGACUAGAGUGCAGCAGAGGGGAGUGGAAUUCCAUGUGUAGCAGUGAAAUGCGUAGAGAUGUGGAAGAACACCGAUGGCGAAGGCAGCUCCCUGGGUUGACACUGACGCUCAUGCACGAAAGCGUGGGGAGCAAACA
rnacentral:rRNA from 1 species